CACACCUGCCACUGGUCUCUACCGUCUAGCAGCUGGAUUUGUUGGUUUGAUGGUUUCUGUCUGUGGGAUUUCUGUUACCGCGCCGGUACAAUGGAGAUAAAUGGAGUUGGGCAGAUGGGGGAGCAUGUUGACAAACCUGCCUACUCAAGUCUGGUUCUCUUGGCCGAGGAUAAAGUGCUGUAACACCAGGCUGAACCCAGGCUGUUGAUGAAUCUGAAAUGGGCCAUUCUGCAUUUUAGUUUUAGUACUUUUAGUAUAUUUUGAUGCAAAUACUUGUGUUUGAUUUUGCCCUGUAGUAUUGCAACAUUUACUUAAAAGCAGGGUUGGUAACUGUUUCCGAUAUAAACCUUUUUUAUAUAUAGAUUGAAAUGGUCUUUA